ensembl:lncRNA
GGAGGGGACAUUCCUCCUUUGUUGUAAACUCAGCACAGUUCACACUGAACAGAUUCAAUUUAUACCAAAUGAGAUGAGAAAUGUUUUAGAAGACCCCAUUUUAUCUUGCAGAACUUCCUUGUCUUGGAAAGGACUGUGUUUCUUCUCUGAAGUUUUACCAGCCAGCCAGAGGGUCUUCUCUUGGCAUUGCCAGAUUCUGAAGAUUUAUGUGGAAACCUAUGGCUGGAAGGUAAAAAAUGAGAACAGAACAGAAGAUUGGGAUGAGUACGUGGAAGUUUAAAUUGCUGAACAUCUACACCAGGGGUCUUGGUGAGUGCAGGGGCAGCAUUUGGGUGUGUUCACAUCUGGACGGUAGUCCCUGUGAG